AGAAAUUUAAGUUAACAGACUAAAGGUCUCA
rnacentral:tRNA from 1 species